UAACUGAGCAUGCGCUCUUCCCCAGGGACACUAGCUGUGAGGGAGAAAAAGCGAGGAAGCUUCUGCUUCCAUGGCCCACAGUCCCAGGAACAUGGUCUACAACUGUGCUGUGUUGCUGACUGUACCUGUGGAGGCAGAAGAGGCAAUCAGAUCUCCUGGAGCUGGAGUUACAGGUGUUGUGAGCAGCCCCACAUGGGUGCUAGGAACCGAACGUGGGUCCUCUGCAAGAGCAGUGAGAGCUUUGAUCAAGCACCGAGCCUGUCCCCACCCAGGAAAUGUGUCUUAACUCUGGGAAGAGUCUCACUUGUGCUGGAAUUUGAUCCUGAAUUUCAAACAUCUUUUACAAAAAGUGAAAACUGUAAGCAGAAGACGUAAUCAGUGUAAUUUGCAUAUUAAUUUUUUUUUUGUCUGUGAAGUUUGUAAAAACCACUGUGUGUGCUCACCCCUGCCUCCAACCUCCUCAGGUAUGUGCUCACCCCUGCCUCCACCCUCCUCAGGUAUGUGCUCACCCCUGCCUCUACCCUCCUCAGGUAUGUGCUCACCCCUGCCUCUACCCUCCUCAGGUAUGUGCUCACCCCUGCCUCCACCCUCCUCAGGUAUGAGCUCACCUCUGCCUCCACCCUCCCCAGGUAUGUGCUCACCCCUGCCUCCACCCUCCCCAGGUAUGUGCUCACCCCUGCCUCAAUCCUCCUCAGGUUUGUGCUCACCCCUGCCUCCACCCUCCUCAGGUAUGUGCUCACCCCUGCCUCCACCCUCCCCAGGUAUGUGCUCACCCCUGCCUCCACCCUCCUCAGGUAUUUCUGUCUGUUUACUUCUUAUUUCCUCUUUGUCUUCAUUUCUUAACUUUCCCAAGUCUGUUUACUUGAGUGAUAGCUCUAACCAUUUCUCACAGUCCGAGCCUCCUCUAGACUGGAUGAUUCACCAGUUGGAAACUAGCUCAGGCUCCCAGGAUAAUUGUGGAAUGUUAGUUCACUGCGCAGAGUGCAAGUUCAGCACGAAAGGGUGUGAGACAUGAACUCCAGAAGAAGGCAAAAGUUAAAAGAAGUCAAGUUCAGUUACAGGAAGGAGUCUCCACCCCAAGCUGGUAUACAUGAAAGAAAAAAAAAAAGCCCUAAACUAACCAUUUUACAUUCCAAGCUUUCUGAGAUGUUAUGAUUUGCCUCUAAGUUAACAAAUAAAACCAAUUAACCUGUGUUAUCUGCUCAAGAGUCAAUACAGAAACACGAUCUAUUUAAAAAGCACAUUGUGGUGAUGAUAAAUUAAAACCCAAACAUUCCUGGAGCCAGGAAACUAAUCUUAGAAGCUUCUAAGUUAUAGUCUACAUUAGGGGAUUCUUGAUUUUAAUUUUUUGGGAGGAAAUCGAGUAAUUAUACUACUGAGAACACUGUGUUUUGACCACUUCAGUACUUAGAAUUCAUUUCUUAAGAAAAAAAUCAUAAGCUUUAGGGUACUAUGGGGUCUCUAAAGAUAAACACUUAUGUCAUGCUGCCUAAUGUGGAGGCCUAGGUCAGAAGGUUGCUAUAGUAAAGAGUACCUGAUUACAGUGGUUUGAAUAACCUCAAAUACACAACAAUCAUUUAAAACACAAGUUUCAUUUAAGAUCUUAUGGCUGGCCAACUUGUAUGCCAAGACAUGAUAAUUUCAGGAUUUUGUAAACAGAGAAAUAGUUAUUAAGUGUUAAUGAGUCUAAAACCCCAAGUUUCAGGGAGUUAGGAGUUACUUGCUCAAGGUUUCAUGGUUUAAAAAGUCACAGAACAAUGUAAAAAUUAUUUUAAUUCUUCUUUUAAAUGUGUAUGUCUUAAAAGUGUUGUUACUUCAGUGACCCAAACAGAACAAUCUCACACACACACACACACACACACACACACACACACACCCCAAAAAUGAAAAACCAGAAAACAAAACAACAAUAAUAAUAGCAACAACAACAAUAACAACCCAAACCCAUCUGUUUUGCUGUGGGAUGUCUUUCUGUAUACUGUGAAUAUGUGUUGCUCUCAUUGGUUGAUAAAUAAAGCUGUUUGGCCAAUGG